GGCCCUUUGGACGUCCUGUGCAAGCAAAUGUCCUGUCACUACGGUCUGAAGCAAAUUGUUCAAAGGCUGCUGCAGAACAACUGUUUAACGUCCCUUUGCAGGAAUCAAUUAACUUCAGUUUACUGGAAGCUUCAGUGUCUCUCUGAUGACUUUGUUCAUGAUACAACAAUUGGGGGCUCAUCCGGGAUACAUUUGUGACCCCAUCACAUGACCAGCGAUCUCAGCAGUCUAAGUGGACAGAGCGAGAGAUGGCAUGUGCCCAGUAAAAAUGUUAUUGCAGAGAGCCUAAGUGAUGAACACCAGCCGGCUGCAUCAGACCUGACCACACCCGAUGGAAACAGAGUCACAACAAACGUGAAGGCAGAGGACACCCAGAAAACGUGACUGCAGGCCAUGAACAGCAUGUUAAAGUGUGACAGUAACUGUACUCUGUAACGAAGGUGGCUGGCUGAAGGCAGAUGAUUAGUUGUAUAGCUCAGUAUAGAAAAAUAUUCGGGGAAAAUAGAUGGGAAGGGGUUCAAGUUACAGGAGAGACAUCAGGUUCCACAAUUUCAAUGGCGUGGCAGACUGAGAAAGGAAAUAAGUUUCACACAGUGUCUGAAGGCUGAACCACAACCUGAAUGGGGAGUGAGUACAAAUAAGCUGGGACCUUACAGUGGUUGAACCAGUGAUUAAAAGGACAGUCUGGAAUGGGGUACCACUGGGGUGAGGUCUUUGCAGGCAUUCAAAUAGAGACCACCCAAACCCUGCCUGUACAUUGAUGAGAGGGCCUGCGAGCCUGAUACAUAGCCUUACAAGUGCCACUGACCAGAGAGUAACCACUGGUAGCCACUGCAGAGUUCUAGCUAUCAGAGAAUGAAGGGCUGAAGAUAAAGAAUGUGAUCAAACUGCAAUUGGCCAGCAGGGAAGCAGGCAACAGGCAUAUGAAUGAUGAAGCUGCAUUUUAAAGACUGUUGGUCAAAUUUCUGGAACAUUCUUUGCUUACAGUCUUGUAGAGUAUUGUACUCUAUCAUCCAUUAGCAUGUCUUGUAGAGUAUUGUACUCUAUCAUCCAUUGUGAUGCACAUAGGGAUAUGAUAGGUAAUCGGGGAAGGGGUUCUGAAGUACAGAGUGUUUUGCUGCCUUAUUUGAAUAGAUCUUCCUUACAGUUUGGCCUUUCCUGGAACAAAUUUAUUUUUGUCCAGGAGGGCCAAGAGGAAGGGCUAUUAGGGCAUGUUAGGGUAUAUAGCAAAUAUUAAUUUCACCAGCAACCAACUUUCAGACAUGAAUGUAGAUUGUAGAUUGAAUUUAAAAUGCAGCCCUGAACAAAUAGUUUCCUGGAGAUGUGGGCUGGAGUUGAUUGCAAACCAGACAAUAUUGAUUAAUAUUCAUUUUGGGUGUCUGGAGUGUGGGUGUGAAGAAUUAGGUGUGCGAAAACUGUAUGUAAUUCUAAGGAAGCAUUGUAGAUACUUUGUAACUAUAUGUAAUGCCCUGAUUAAAAUUUCUACUGCUAUGCUGUAGGUGUUUCAUUUUAGCAGAUUUCUACAAAAGCAGUGUGUCCUGCUGGCAGAAUGUUUUGGUUUCAGCUAAAGAAAAGGAGCCCUGCUAUUCAACUUAGGAACAUUGUGUCAACCAAUCAGAAUUUGGAGAAGAUUCUAGAGACCGCGGGGUGGAGAGA